UACGUAGGUGACCAGCGUUGUCCGGAUUUACUGGGCGUAAAGAGCGCGCAGGCGGUCGUUCAAGUCGAGUGUGAAAGCCCCCGGCUCAACUGGGGAGGGUCAUUCGAUACUGAUCGACUCGAAGGCAGGAGAGGGUAGUGGAAUUCCCAGUGUAGCGGUGAAAUGCGUAGAUAUUGGGAGGAACACCUGCGGCGAAGGCGGCUACCUGGACAGAAACUGACGCUGAGGCGCGAAAGCUAGGGGAGCGAACGGG
rnacentral:rRNA from 1 species